rnacentral:rRNA from 1 species
GAUGAACGCUGGCGGCGUGCCUAAUACAUGCAAGUCGAGCGAACGGACGAGAAGCUUGCUUCUCUGAUGUUAGCGGCGGACGGGUGAGUAACACGUGGAUAACCUACCUAUAAGACUGGGAUAACUUCGGGAAACCGGAGCUAAUACCGGAUAAUAUUUUGAACCUCAUGGUUCAAAAGUGAAAGACGGUCUUGCUGUCACUUAUAGAUGGAUCCGCGCUGCAUUAGCUAGUUGGUAAGGUAACGGCUUACCAAGGCAACGAUGCAUAGCCGACCUGAGAGGGUGACCGGCCACACUGGAACUGAGACACGGUCCAGACUCCUACGGGAGGCAGCAGUAGGGAAUCUUCCGCAAAGGGCGAAAGCCUGACGGAGCAACGCAGCGUGAGUGAUGAAGGUCUUCGGAUCGUAAAACUCUGUUAUUAGGGAAGAACAUAUGUGUAAGUAACUGUGCACAUCUUGACGGUACCUAAUCAGAAAGCCACGGCUAACUACGUG